CUACGGGUCGCUCCAGGCGAGAAAACUUUGCAAUGUGCGAAAGCACGACAAGGUUAAUCCGAGUGGUUUGUGCUAAACGAACCUUUUGACAGUCCUAGAAACACUGUUGAAUAAGGGGUGGGCAAGUUCUGGUGUCAGCCGCCGCGGUAAAACCAGCACCUCAAGUGGUCAGGAUGAUUAUUGGGCCUAAAGCAUCCGUAGCCGGCUCUGUAAGUUUUCGGUUAAAUCUGUACGCUCAACGUACAGGCUGCCGGGAAUACUGCAGAGCUAGGGAGUGGGAGAGGUAGACGGUACUCUGUAGGAAGGGGUAAAAUCCUUUGAUCUAUUGAUGACCACCUGUGGCGAAGGCGGUCUACCAGAACACGUCCGACGGUGAGGGAUGAAAGCUGGGGGAGCAAACCGGAUUAGAUACCCCUGUAGUC
rnacentral:rRNA from 1 species